ACACAGAAACACCACCUGAACCAGCCGGGACACGAACCAGCGACCUUCUUGCCUACUGUACACAUCCACAUAGAAAUCAACAGUGCUUUUUAAGUGUGUGUGUGUGUGUGUGUGUGUGUGUUCGUUCACUGUUCAGUGAGAGUGGAUGUUUUCCUCUGUGCUGUAGUUCCUCCUCCUGCGCACGUGCGUGCGUGUGUGUGUGUGUGUGUGUGUGUGAUUAGACGGUAUGCGGCUCAGACUCAGGUAACACACUCUCUCAGACAGCAGGAUGGCGAGUGUGUGUUUGUGUUGAGAAUGGAGAAGAAAGUGUGUGUGAUCCAGACUGACUUCCAGCAGAACAGACCCAUCAUCGCCAUACACAGCAAACCACUGGCUCACGUUCAUCCGCUGCAGACAGAGAUGAAGGACCGAGACGAGCUGAAGAAGGCGAUGGAGCAGAGUGAGCGUCUGCAGAGCCGCGUGCAGCAGCUGGAGGAGGAGAACACUGAGCUGAGCAGGCAGAAGCAUGAGGCAUUCGUCCGCAUGCGUGCUCUCCAUGCACUCGUCUAGGCACUUGCAGCAGAGCUCUGGAUGUCCUGUCGGGACUAGUUUGAUAGAUGAUCCUCUCGUUUGAAGGAAGAUCGUCUCGGCUGCCGGAUACGGGUCUGUGUGUUCUCCGCUGUCUUGUUUUGCUCGUUCCCUUCAUGUCCCUGUCCAUGCUGUUGCUAGGUGUUGCUUGGUUGCCAUGGUAUUGCUAUUUGGUGUUAAAGCAUCUUGAGUUUAUUUUAGUCUGUUGCUAUGCUGUUGCUAGGUGAAGAGUGUUGCCAAGAUGUUGCCAUGUUGUGUUAAAGCAUCCUGAGUGUAUUUUAGUCAGUUGCUAUGCUGUUGCUAGGUGAAGAGUGUUGCCAAGAUGUUGCCAUGUUGUGUUAAAGCAUCCUGAGUGUAUUUUAGUCAGUUGCUAUGCUGUUGCUAGGUGCAGAGUGUUGCCAAGAUGUUGCUAUGUUAAAGCAUUCUGAGUGUAUUUUAGUCAGUUGCUAUGCUGUUGCUAGGUGUAGAGUGUUGCCAUGGCGUUGCUAUGUGGUGUUAAAGCAUCCUGAGUGUGUUUUAGUCAGUUGCUAUGCUGUUGCUAGGUGCAGAGUGUUGCCAUGGUGUUGCUAUGUGGUGUUAAAGCAUCCUGAGUGUGUUUUAGUCAGUUGCUAUGCUGUUGCUAGGUGCAGAGUGUAGCCAUUGUGUUGCUAUGUGGUGUUAAAGCAUCCUGAGUGUAUUUUAGUCAGUUUCUAUGUGGUUGCUAGGUGUAGAGUGUUGCCAAGACGUUUCUAUGUGGUUGGUAAAGCAUCCUGAGUGUAUUUUAGUCAGUUGCUAUGCUGUUGCUAGGUAUAGUGUGUUGCCAAGGCGUUUCUAUGUGGUUGGUAAAGCAUCCUGAGUGUAUUUUAGUCAGUUGCUAUGCUGUUGCUAGGUGUAGAGUGUUGCCAAGGCGUUUCUAUGUGGUUUGUAAAGCAUCCUGAGUGUAUUUUAGUCAGUUGCUAUGCUGUUGCUAGGUGUAGAGUGUUGCCAAGGCGUUUCUAUGUGGUUGGUAAAGCAUCCUGAGUGUAUUUUAGUCAGUUGCUAUGCUGUUGCUAGGUGUAGAGUGUUGCCAAGGUGUUGCUAUGUUGUGGUUUAAGCAUCCUGAGUGUAUUUUAGUCAGUUGCUAGGCUGUUGCUAGGUGUAGAGUGUUGCCAUGGUGUUGCUAUGUGGUUGUUAAAACACCCUGAGUGUGUUUUAGUCAGUUCCUAUGCUGUUGCUAGGUGCAGAUUUUUGCCAAAGUGUUGCUUUGUGCCUUUUAAGCAUCUUUAGUGUAUUUUAGUCAGUUGCUAUACUGUUGCUAGGUGUAGAGUGUUGCCAAGGUGUUGCUAUGUUGUGGUUUAAGCAUACUGAGUGUAUUUUAGUCAGUUGCUAUGCUGUUGCUAGGUGUAGAGUGUUGCCAAGGUGUUUCUAUGUGGUUGGUAAGGCAUCCUGGGUGUAUUUUAGUCAGUUGCUAUGCUGUUGCUAGGUGUAGAGUGUUGCCAAGGCAUUUCUAUUCGGUUGUUAAAGUAUCCUGAGUGUAUUUUAGUCAGUUGCUAUGCUGUUGCUAAAUCAAAGUGUUGCCAAAGUGUUGCUGUGUGAUUCAUAAAGCAACUUACAGUGGGUGUAUGUUAGUCAGUUGCUAUGUAUUAAGUGGUUGCCAGACUGUUACUAUGCAGCUAUUAAAGCAUCCUGAAUGAUUUUUAUUCAGUUGCCAUGGUGUUGCUAGGUGCAGAGUGUUUGACAUUGAUAUGAUUAUAUGGCAAAUAUGAUUGUUUGUUUGUUGUUUGUUGUCAAUUAUAAAAAAAUAAAAGUGUUUUAUAGUCCAGAAAGGUUGCAGAGGCUGUUGUGGAUUGUUGUCUGGGUAUUUUGUGUUGUAUUAAGUGGUUAAUAUUGAGUUCAGAUGAUUUCUCAUUGAGUGCUAGACAUUACAGGAGCUCAAUCCAGCUAUGAAAUUUCCUGGAUAGUGCUCAGGGGCUCUAAGCCUGUUUUCUCUUUUAAGUCUGGUAUUUUAUGAUCCGCCAGGUGUAAAUCGCAGCGGAGCCUUUGCAGACAGCAGUAAUUAUAGACUGCAGAGACAUCUGUGCAUUGUGUUUUAUCUCAAAAUUACUUAGCAUUUACUUUUCACUCAGAAAUCACUCGUAAAUUUCAUUUUUAUUUAUACAGUACUGACAGGUAUCAUACUGAGAUGAGCACAAGUUCUAAAUAUAGUCUAAUAUAAAGUGUCUAUCGUGUAUAUUUAUAUAUAAUAUUAAAUGUAGCAUGAAUCUGUUUUGCUGGGCUUUUACCCAGAGAACUCAAACUAUAGCGAACAUUUCUCUAUACACCUCAGCAUGCUUUAUGCCAAAUAAUGUGUAGCUUUGCUAUGGACAAAAGCACAAGACCAAACACAACUCAAUGGAUAAGAAAGAUGUUGUCAAGCCUGCCAUUAGAAAAGAUCAUUACAUACUAAAAGCUGAACAGCAUUUAUUUAUUUAUUAAAACACAUGGAGUCCCUGCAUUAGAUACACUGAAGGUGUGAAAUUCACAGAGGGAGAAGUUGAUGAAUAAUCUUCAUGUGGACAGUGUAGUUGCAGUCUUACAGUCCUGUAUUUAUACACUCUUCAGUCGAUAUAUUUGCUGUACACUGUAUUCAGAAUGAUCACUUUUGAAUAGAUUAGCAUAAC